rnacentral:rRNA from 1 species
GAUGAACGCUAGCUACAGGCUUAACACAUGCAAGUCGUGGGGCAGCGGAUACUUAGCUUGCUAAGUAUGCCGGCGACCGGCGCACGGGUGAGUAACGCGUACCGAACCUGCCCAUCACACAGGGAUAGGCUUGCGAAAGCAAGAUUAAUAUCUGAUGGUCUCAAUUUUAUGCAUGUAUGAUUGAGUAAAGCCUUCGGGCGGUGAUGGAUGGCGGUGCGUCCCAUUAGGAAGUUGGCGGGGUAACGGCCCACCAAUCCUUCGAUGGGUAGGGGUUCUGAGAGGAAGGGCCCCCAGAGUGGAACUGGGGGAGGGUCCAAACUCCUGCGGGAGGCAGCGGUGAGGAAUAUUGGUCAAGGGGCGGGGGCCUGAACCAGCCAAGUAGCGUGCGGGAUGAAGGCGCUUGUGGUGGUAAACCGCUUUUAGCAGUGAAUAAAGUGCACCACGUGUGGUGUCAUUGCAGGUAGCUGAAGAGAAAGAACCGGCUAAUUCCGUG